rnacentral:rRNA from 1 species
UACGGAGGGUGCAAGCGUUAUCCGGAUUCACUGGGUUUAAAGGGUGCGUAGGCGGGCAGGUAAGUCAGUGGUGAAAUCUCCGAGCUUAACUCGGAAACUGCCUUUGAUACUAUCUGCCUUGAAUAUUGUGGAGGUAAGCGGAAUAUGUCAUGUAGCGGUGAAAUGCUUAGAUAUGACAUAGAACACCUAUUGCGAAGGCAGCUUACUACGCAUAUAUUGACGCUGAGGCACGAAAGCGUGGGGAUCAAACAGG